UGGGGAAUAUUGGACAAUGGGGGCAACCCUGAUCCAGCCAUGCCGCGUGAGUGAUGAAGGCCCUAGGGUUGUAAAGCUCUUUCAACGGUGAAGAUAAUGACGGUAACCGUAUAAGAAGCCCCGGCUAACUUCGCGCCAGCAGCCGCGGUAAUACGGAGGGGGUUAGCGUUGUUCGGAAUUACUGGGCGUAAAGCGCACGUAGGCGGAUCGGAAAGUUGGGGGUGAAAUCCCGGGGCUCAACCCCGGAACUGCCUCCAAAACUAUCGGUCUAGAGUUCGAGAGAGGUGAGUGGAAUUCCGAGUGUAGAGGUGAAAUUCGUAGAUAUUCGGAGGAACACCAGUGGCGAAGGCGGCUCACUGGCUCGAUACUGACGCUGAGGUGCGAAAGUGUGGGGAGCAAACAGGAUUAGAUACCCCGGUAGUCC
rnacentral:rRNA from 1 species